CCUACGGGAGGCAGCAGUGAGGAAUAUUGGUCAAUGGGCGCAAGCCUGAACUAGCCAUCCCGCGUGCAGGAUGACGGCCCUAUGGGUUGUAAACUGCUUUUAUACACCAAGAAAAACCCCGACGUGUCGGGACUCGACGGUAGUGUAUGAAUAAGCAUCGGCUAACUCCGUGCCAGCAGCCGCGGUAAUACGGAGGAUGCAAGCGUUAUCCGGAUUCAUUGGGUUUAAAGGGUGCGUAGGCGGCUUUUUAAGUCAGUGGUGAAAUCCUGCCGCUUAACGGUAGAAUUGCCAUUGAUACUGAAGAGCUUGAGUACAGUUGAGGUAAGCGGAAUGUGUAGUGUAGCGGUGAAAUGCUUAGAUAUUACACAGAACACCAAUUGCGAAGGCAGCUUACUAAACUGAUACUGACGCUGAUGCACGAAAGCGUGGGGAGCGAACAGGAUUAGAUACCCUGGUAGUCCACGCCGUAAACGAUGUUCACUCGCUGUUUGCGAUACACAGCAAGCGGCCAAGCGAAAGCAUUAAGUGAACCACCUGGGGAGUACGAUCGCAAGGUUGAAACUCAAAGGAAUUGACGG
rnacentral:rRNA from 1 species